rnacentral:misc_RNA from 1 species
UGCCUCUGCACUGCUCCGCACACGGACAAGGUAGUAGCCAUAGCGUAGGAGAGAGAAAAACAAAAAGAAGCGAGUGCAGCUCGUAUAGUCGUCCCUCUGCACUUGGUAUGUCAGUUCUCCGUUUCUAUUUCGGUAUACAUUAGUCAUGCGAUGCCUCGAGCACAGACCAAGAUCCUGCUGCUCGUUAUCGCCUUCAAAUACACGCUCUGGAGCAUCUACUGGUCCUACGGAUCGUCGUCGUUGUCGUCGCCCAAAGAAAUUCAAUACAGCAGCGAUAGCAGAAGCGUCGGGAAUAACGACGCGCAGCAGACUGCAGAAGUGAAAGUAUCGUCGCAAGUGUAAACACAAACGCUGCUGUCUAAUCGGGCUGGCAGCAAAUAUAAAUGUAAAGACGUUCAAUUAAAGUACAUAACGAGUUACAGAGAGAGAGAGAAAAAAAGAAGGAAAGUGUAGUCAAAGCUUUGCAGCAAGUAUCGAUGAUUAGAUGCGCGUGUCAGUGAGCAAAACGCGGACGAUUCGACAUAAGAUUCGCAAAGGAGUCCCUGUGAAUUGUGAUACACGACGCAUGAAGCAGGGUCGCCGACCAUAUCAAUACAUGGUCACGGGGGCAUUGUAGCUUAAGUAACCGACUAAACACCAUGAGCUGAACAGAAAAUUUGCUUACGCAUUGACUAAAAUUUCCAAGAUGUAUGGUGAUGGAGAAAUGGAAGUCUCAGAAGGUUGGAGACAAGUCAGAGAUAUAAGUACGACAACUGAUCCUAGCAUUAGUUAUGCAGGAGAAGAUGAAGACCAUUUUUGUAAACUUAUACUUUAUAAAGAAAUAAAAGAUUCCAGAGUAAGAAUAUGGGACAUUAUUAUAUUGAUACCAAAUCUGCUGUUUCUACUGUUCAUUGCUAUCAGAUUUAAUCGAGCAAGACUCAAACUCAGAGCUACAAGUAGUCCAAUAUACUUGGCUUUUUAUGGUCUAGUUAUAUGUAGUGUUGUAAUAUCGGUUAUUCGAUGCAUAGUAGCAAUGACUGUUAAUGCAACUGCUAGCAUUGGUGGUACUACGGACAAAGUUUUAUGGGUUACAGUCAGAUUUUUCCUGUUGUCGACGGAAAUGAGUGUCGUCAUAUUUUGUCUCGCUUUUGGUAAUUUGGAUAGUCGGUCAAGUAUACGUCGAGUUCUCUUGGCAACAUCUUUUAUAGCAUUGGUUUUUACAAUAACUCAAGGAACCUUAGAAUUAGUUCUCCCAGAUGAUACAUUCCACAUACCCAGUCGUGACUUAUACGUAUAUGGUCAUGGUGGAAUGCUAUUUUGGUUUUGUAGCAGCAUUGUUUUUUCUAUGAUAUAUUUGUUUAUUUUAAUACUACCAUACACUAGAUUAAGGGAACGACUCACACUUCCUAAUCGAAAGGGGUUUUACGUUUACAUCGGUCUGCUAGCUGCUCUUGAUCUUAUUCAAUCUAUAGGAGCAGGUUUGCUGAAUUACACUCAAAAUCCAGCUGGUUUGUGUGUCGUGGAUUUAACAGCUGCUGUGUACCUGACUCUUUUCAUUCCUCUUGUCUGCCACACGUUCCUAUCUGAGUUUUUUGGAGUGACGCAUCCAACUCUAAUGUUUUCAUACAAGCCUCAAAUGGAUGACGCGAUGGAGGAGGACACAGUUUCAUUGCCGCACCAGCAGAGCUUCUCGUCCCUCAAAACUGACAGCGACUACAUAUACCAGGUCCAUACUCCAUCUUUUCAUGUGCCACUGUUUCAAUCACAACGUAUGCCCAACAUCGGCACCAAGUUUCCGACUAAUAAAUUAAGAAAUAGCUCUUCUCACUCGAUACUUUUUUACCACGAUUAUAGUGCGAAGCGAGGAUUUCGCGCGCGCCUACGUCCCAGUAGUGCUAGUGGUCAGACAAGCGCGCCAGACCUCAGUCGCCUUCGUAAUGCCAGUGACGAUGAACUCGCGAGUGCAUCGAAAUUGUUACUCUCGCCUGUUGCAGUCAACAAAUAUGUGUUAGAGUCUCGUGAUGAUCGUAGCAAACAUAAUGUAUAUCCUGACGGCAAUCAGAGCGAUAGCAAUUUAGAAACUAGCAAGCGUGUAGCUGAGAUCGAUGUCGAGGUGCUUACCAUGUCAAAGAGAUUUGGGGAUACUGCUUCUGAGUCAUCAUCUCAGAGUGAGACUUUGUAGAGCUUUUAAUGAUCUGUGACAAAUUGAGUUUAUACUAUACUUUUAUUCCUCGUCUAAUGGUGCUAACUUUAAAGUACUAUCAAUAAUAGUACUUAGUUUUGUACAUUGAACCACAGCGUGUACGAUUCGACACAGUUCGACAUUAAUUCACAGCCGAUGAAUCCACUGUACGCAGCGUCGCUCCAGAGCCCCGAC